GAUGAACGCUAGCGGAAGGCAUAAUACAUGCAAGUCGAACGGAUGUAACAAUACAUUAGUGGCGCACGGGUGCGUAACGCGUAUGCAACCUACCUUCAUCAGGGGGAUAACUACCCGAAAGGGUGGCUAACACCGCAUAAUACUACUGAAUGGCAUCAUUUGGUAUUUAAAUCUGAGGAGGAUGAAGAUGGGCAUGCGUCUGAUUAGCUAGUUGGUGUGGUAACGGCGCACCAAGGCGACGAUCAGUAGGGGAACUGAGAGGUUGGUCCCCCACACUGGCACUGAGAUACGGGCCAGACUCCUACGGGAGGCAGCAGUAGGGAAUAUUGGUCAAUGGUGGGAACACUGAACCAGCCAUUCCGCGUGCAGGAAGAAGGGUCUCUGACUUGUAAACUGCUUUAGCAAGGGAAGAAAAAGCUCAUGCGUGAGAAAUUGACGGUACCUUGAGAAUAAGCACCGGCUAACUACGUGCCAGCCGCCGCUGUAACAC
rnacentral:rRNA from 1 species